GCUAACAUUCAAAUUAAUUAAAUUUGAUAAGUGAACUAAACUCAGUUUUCAUCAACCUGUUGUGAACACUACUUUUAAAUAAGUAAGUAGUAAUUUGGGGUUGGAGAACUUGCUUAACUUGAUAUAUCCCAGUUAAGUCAAAUUAGAAAAAAUAAUUUAUUGUACCCAGUGUCCUUUGCGCGUUCUAUCAGACAUGCGCAGAUCUGCCCUGCCUACUUUCGCGCUCUUUCCAACACCUUUCUCAUUUAUUUUCGCCAUUGUGGGUUUAUUUGUCCUCAGCACACUGAUUUGGCUGAAGCAAAUGGUCAGAAGUCCACACAUACCUCAGUCUCUGCAAUUACAGGUCAACCAGAGCAGUAUUCUCUAAUGCAGUGGACUUGUAAGUACUGCACAUUUUCUGCUGGAAAGAGAGGCUACUUGCUUAAGCAUUACCGCUUAAAACAUGGAUACCACACUCGGACAUCCCUACUCCCCAUGUCUUCAUAAGGACUGCCUCUGCACAUUUAAAUAUUUUAAUGCACUCAAAGUACACCUAUCGACAUGCCACUCUCAAAAAGAUGCAGACAAAAGUGGAGAAACUGCAUUUGACUGUCAGUUGUGCAACUUUGUGGAGCCUGGUUAAGAAGCAGACUUCUUUACCCAUUUGCGAAGACAUCUUAAGCUGAGGCAAAUGGUUACUUGCAUAUAUCAAGACUGUAACUUUCAGAGCACUGUUUAUUCUACCUUCACUGCACACAAAAGCAGAAAUGUGAAAUGAGUUUGAACCAUAGUAUGGGUAGGACAUUUGUGUCUAAAUCAUUCAAUCCCAAUAAAAGUUGCUUCAAUCAAAAAAAAUAUUUUUAAUGAAAGAAAAAGAACCUCUUGCUAAAAUGUUUUUUUGAAAAUAUAUAUUUUUUGAAAUAUAUAUAUUUUUUUAUUGACGUGUCACUUUUUUUGCAAAGCAUGAAGUUUUAAACUUUUUUUUUUUUUAAAGUGGAAAAAGUUUUUGAAGGCACUUUUUUUCGAUUG